rnacentral:ribozyme from 1 species
UGCUCAGUAACUCUUAUCCUUACCUGCUAGUGGUACUGGCCGGGGUACGAGCAACCUUAGGCAACAUCGGGUAACCGACCCCGGUGUGAACUUUGGUCGUAUGCUGACAGGGAAAG